rnacentral:rRNA from 1 species
GACAGACGGUGCAAACGUUGUUCGGAAUUACUGGGCGUAAAGCGCGUGUAGGCUGCUUCGCAAGUCGGGUGUGAAAGCCCUGGGCUCAACCUAGGAAGUGCACUCGAAACUGCGAAGCUUGAGUCCUGGAGAGGAAGGCGGAAUUCUCGGUGUAGAGGUGAAAUUCGUAGAUAUCGAGAGGGACACCGGUGGCGAAGGCGGCCUUCUGGACAGUGACUGACGCUGAGACGCGAAAGCGUGGGGAGCAAACAGG